rnacentral:rRNA from 1 species
CCUACGGGAGGCAGCAGUGGGGAAUAUUGGACAAUGGGGGGAACCCUGAUCCAGCGACGUCGCGUGAGGGAAGAAGUACUUCGGUAUGUAAAGCUUUAUCAGCAGGGAGGUAAGAAAUGACGGUACCUGACUAAGAAGCCCCGGCUAACUACGUGCCAGCAGCCGCGGUAAUACGGAGGGGGCAAGCGUUAUCCGGAUUUACUGGGUGUAAAGGGAGCGUAGACGGGGAUGCAAGUCUGAAGUGAAAGGCGGGGGCCCAACCCCCAGACUGCUUUGGAAACUGGAUGGCUGGAGUGCAGGAGAGGUAGGUGGAAUUCCUAGUGUAGCGGUGAAAUGCGUAGAUAUUAGGAAGAACACCAGUGGCGAAGGCAGCUUACUAAACUGUAACUGACGUUGAGGCUCGAAAGCGUGGGGAGCAAACAGGAUUAGAUACCCCAGUAGUC